rnacentral:rRNA from 1 species
UACGUAGGGUGCGAGCGUUGUUCGGAAUUACUGGGCGUAAAGGGCGCGUAGGCGGCCUGCUAAGUCGGAUGUGAAAUCCCUCGGCUCAACCGAGGAACUGCAUCCGAUACUGGAUGGCUUGAAUCCGGGAGAGGGAUGCAGAAUUCCAGGUGUAGCGGUGAAAUGCGUAGAUAUCUGGAGGAAUACCGGUGGCGAAGGCGGCAUCCUGGACCGGCAUUGACGCUGAUGAGCGAAAGCUAGGGGAGCAAACGGG